CUCAUAUGAUGACAAGUCCAUAUGAUUACCAAAUAGCUUGAAAGUUUUGCCUUAAUUUAACCACCCAAUUUUACAUGAUUUCUUGGGGAGCAAUCGAUCGAUUUUUUUUUUUUUUUUAAUUGCAGGAGCUCAAGAGUAUCCUGAUGCAUAUUAUAGAUAUGUUGAUGUAAGAGAUGUUGCAUAUGCACAUAUUCAAGCUUUGGAGAUUCCUUCAGCUUAGUGGCAGAUUUUGUUUAAUUGAGAGAGAUCUUCACUUCUCUGAGGUUCUGGAAGAUCGUGCAUCAACAUUAUCCAGCAUUGCAACUUCCAGAAAAGAGUGGCCCUGGAUUGAAUUACUUAACAAAGUAUGGGAUAUCAAAGGAAAAAGCGAAAACUUUGGGUAUUGACUUCAUUCCUUUGGAGGUGAGUUUGAAGGACACUAUUGAAAGCUUGAAGUAGAAGGGCUUCCUUAGCAUUUGAUUUUGGCUGUUGGAUGGAAAGCAAGGCAAAUAUUACAUUGACCUUUCGGCUUCAUUGUCUUUAGCUCCCUACUGCAGCAAGAAAUUGUUGCUCUUCAAGAUUGUCUUCAUCUGAAAUAAGUGGACGAACACAUUUAUAAAUAAAUAGUAAUGUUUAUAUAUAUUGUGCAAAAUAAAUAAUAUUUCAUGCGUCACUUGUUUGACUGGUAGAUGAAGUUCAUUUUAAGUCGGUGAUUUUCUAUCAAGUUUGGUCAAAUUCAUCCCUAUGUGCACAGCAGAAAGAUUUGACAGAAUUACAAUUGCUUGUUCUGAUUUUACGAAGGCCAGCCAUUCAGAUUUUGGAUGUUUCAAGUACUGCUAGUUCCUGUAAUUUAUACAAAAACUGAUUUCCCUGGAAAAGGGGAAAAUUUUCUGUUAUUUGCACUGAAUGAACAAUUGAAUACCAUAUUAAGCAAACUAUUUAA